AGUGAACGCUGGCGGUAGGCCUAACACAUGCAAGUCGAACGGCAGCACAGUAAGAGCUUGCUCUUACGGGUGGCGAGUGGCGGACGGGUGAGGAAUACAGCGGAAUCUACUUUUUCGUGGGGGAUAACGUAGGGAAACUUACGCUAAUACCGCAUACGACCUACGGGGGAAAGCAGGGGAUCUUCGGACCUUGCGCGAUUGAAUGAGCCGAUGUCGGAUUAGCUAGUUGGCGGGGUAAAGGCCCACCAAGGCGACGAUCCGUAGCUGGUCUGAGAGGAUGAUCAGCCACACUGGAACUGAGACACGGUCCAGACUCCUACGGGAGGCAGCAGUGGGGAAUAUUGGACAAUGGGCGCAAGCCUGAUCCAGCCAUACCGCGUGGGUGAAGAAGGCCUUCGGGUUGUAAAGCCCUUUUGUUGGGAAAGAAAAGCAGCAGGUUAAUACCCCGCUGUUCUGACGGUACCCAAAGAAUAAGCACCGGCUAACUUCGUG
rnacentral:rRNA from 1 species